rnacentral:tmRNA from 2 species
GGGUCCGUAAAGGUUUCGACGGGGAUUUUGAGGCAUGAUAAGCGUGGCGGGCUGGGCAAUCCCGUAAAAGGUCCAACUUAAAAUUAAACGCUAACGAUAAUAGAGUAGCACUGGCUGCCUAAGGGCAGUGCCGUGGCCUAUAGCGCCACCCGUUCCCCGGUUGAGUAUCGCGGCUUCCGGCGAGCGUCAAAUGAGCGGUGAACGUGCACCGGCUGUUCGUCCUUGAACCGGUCACGCAGAAAAGGGCUGCCCCAAAUCCGAGCCUGUCUGUCGGCGCAGAGGCGGGGGAGAAUCAAAUGAUAGAAUGCCCACGGAGAAAGUCAUGUCAAGAGGUUUUCGGACAGGGGUUCGACUCCCCUCGGAUCCACCA